CAGAAAUAACCAGAACCUCAAACCCAUUACCUCGCUCAUGGGGCACCACAAGUGAGGACUCUAGAGGUUCUGCCCUGCCCUGCCCUGCCCUGCCCUGCCCUGCCCUGACCUGCCCUGUCUAUCUGUGUGAGGAUCUUCUGCAGUGAGCCAAGGUGUAGCAAGAGACCGUGAGGGCAGACUGGAGUGGUGGGAGUAAAGGGCCUGGAUUCAGACUAGCACAGAACUGCACUCAGGCCGCCUGUUUUCUGCACAGAUGGAGAUCCAGACAGCUACCUGGUGCACCUGAAACCUCUCAGGGGUAUGUAAAAG
rnacentral:lncRNA from 1 species